rnacentral:rRNA from 1 species
GACGAACGCUGGCGGCGUGCCUAACACAUGCAAGUCGAACGGAGUCGGCCCCGCAAGGGACUGACUUAGUGGCGAACGGGUGAGUAACACGUGAGCAACCUGCCCCAGACUCUGGGAUAACAGUUGGAAACAGCUGCUAAUACCGGAUACGAGACGGAGAGGCAUCUCUACCGUCUGGAAAGUUUUUCGGUCUGGGAUGGACUCGCGGCCUAUCAGCUAGUUGGUGAGGUAAUGGCUCACCAAGGCGACGACGGGUAGCCGGCCUGAGAGGGCGACCGGCCACACUGGGACUGAGACACGGCCCAGACUCCUACGGGAGGCAGCAGUGGGGAAUAUUGCACAAUGGGCGAAAGCCUGAUGCAGCGACGCCGCGUGAGGGAUGACGGCCUUCGGGUUGUAAACCUCUUUCAGCAGGGAAGAAGCGAAAGUGACGGUACCUGCAGAAGAAGCACCGGCUAACUACGUG